CCUAUGUCUCUGUCCUUCUGCCGACUUCCACAUUAGUGAUUUAAGCUUGGAAAGCUAUGUCUAAUCUUUGAGCGCUGGGUAAACUUCUUUUAAACCAUUGCCUUCACACAAAGUUCACGUCCAUGUUGGCCGUGCUGCAGCAUAUGGACCAGGCUUUUAGUGCUGGGAAAGUACUGGUUUAAAUGAUAAUUUUUUCAAUAUGCUCAGAAUACGCUUGACACAAUCAGAG